rnacentral:rRNA from 1 species
AACCGGAGCUAAUACCGGAUAACAUGUUGAACCGCAUGGUUCAACAGUGAAAGACGGUCUUGCUGUCACUUAUAGAUGGAUCCGCGCCGCAUUAGCUAGUUGGUAAGGUAACGGCUUACCAAGGCAGUGAUACGUAGCCGACUUGAGAGGGUGAUCGGCCACACUGGGACUGAGACACGGCCCAG